UACGGAGGGGGCUAGCGUUGUUCGGAAUUACUGGGCGUAAAGCGCACGUAGGCGGCUUUGUAAGUUAGAGGUGAAAGCCCAGGGCUUAACCCUGGAAUUGCCUUUAAGACUGCAUCGCUAGAAUCGUGGAGAGGUGAGUGGAAUUCCGAGUGUAGAGGUGAAAUUCGUAGAUAUUCGGAAGAACACCAGUGGCGAAGGCGACUCACUGGACACGUAUUGACGCUGAGGCACGAAAGCGUGGGGAUCAAACAGG
rnacentral:rRNA from 1 species